rnacentral:rRNA from 1 species
CCUACGGGUGGCUGCAGUCGAGAAUCUUCCACAAUGCGCGAAAGCGUGAUGGAGCGAUGCCGCGUGCCGGAUGAAGGCCUUCGGGUUGUAAACGGCUGUCACCAGGGACGAAUACAUUGACGGUACCUGGAGAGGAAGCCACGGCUAACUACGUGCCAGCAGCCGCGGUAAUACGUAGGUGGCUAGCGUUGUUCGGAUUUAUUGGGCGUAAAGGGUUCGCAGGGGGCUGGAUAAGUCUGGUGUGAAAUCUCACGGCUCAACCGUGAAAGUGCAUUGGAAACUAUCGGGCUAGAGCAUCGGAGAGGAGAUUAGAAUUCCAGGUGUAGCGGUGGAAUGCGUAGAUAUCUGGAAGAAUACCAAGAGCGAAGGCAGAUCUCUGGACGAGUGCUGACCCUCAGGAACGAAAGCGUGGGGAGCAAACAGGAUUAGAUACCCGGGUAGUC